UUCCACCCCUAUCUAAUCUUAUAAUUUUAUUUUUUUUUCAUUUCUCUAUCUUUAUUUUGAAAAUUUUAAAAGCAUUAACUACUUUUACUUUAUCAAACAAGAGAUUGAGAUACAUAUAUUUUGAAUGUGUUGGGGAUGAUCUCGGACCAUUCGUAGGAACCUGGUAAUUAGCCAGCAAUCGAAGAAAGCACACCUGGAUGCGGAAGCACGAACAAGGAAGAACAAGGGCGAUCAAUGAUGCCCUAACUUCGAG
rnacentral:lncRNA from 1 species